UCUUGCUGGAUCAAGAAGGCGGUGAUCCUCAUCGAGCUACACGUGUGCUGAACGCGGAGGUGCCGUCCGUUCGACGCUAGAUCGGACGGAGUUCGUGGGACGCUUGCGAUUAGGAUCGCGAAGACGUUCGACUACUAACGCUUCUCGCUUAGCGAUAUACAAGGGUAUAUGGAUCUGAUCUCCCCUCUCGUAGAUGAUCAUCACCAUGGAUAUGUCUUGCGUGUGCGUAGGAAAUUUUUGGUUUCCCAUGCAACGUUCCCCAACAGUGGUAUCAGAGCUGGAUUUAUGCGUAGAUGAUAUCUCGAGUACAAAAUAAAGGAGUUUGUGGGCGUUGAUGUUCAAUUUGCUGGCCUCCUUAGUCUUUUCUUGAUGCGGCGGUAUUGUUGGAUGAAGCAGCCCACACCACCAUUACUCGUAUGCUUACGAGAGAUCGGUUUCAUUGGCUGCCAUGCAACUUGUUGCAUAAAGAUGACUGGCGGGUGUCUGUUUCUCCAACUUUAGUUGAAUCGGAUUUCACCGAGGCGGUCCAUGGAGAAGGUUAAAUAGCAACUUGUAUAUCACCGUUGUGGUUUUGCAUAAGUAAGAUGCGAUCAUACUAGAUACCCAUAGCAGCCACGUAAAACAAGCAACAACAAAUUAGAGGACGUCUAACUUAUUUUUGUAGGGUAUGCACGUGACGUGAUAUGGCCAAAGACAUGAUAUGAUAUAUUGGAUCUAUGAGAUGAUCAUGUUGUAAUAGUUAAAUAUCGACUUGCACGUCGAUGCUACGGCAACCGGCAUGACCCAUAGGUUGUCUUUAAUUAUUUUUGCUCUUGGUGAUGCUUUGCUUUAUCGCUAGUUAGUAGCUUUAGUAGUAACAUCAUAGUUGGCGCGACAACUUCGAUGGCAGCACAAUGAUGGAGAUCAUGGUGUGGCGCCGGUGACGAUGGAGAUCAUGCCGGUGCUUUGGUGAUGGAGAUCAAGAAGCACAAGUUCAUGUCUAUAUCAUGUCACUUAUGAUUUGCAUGUGAUGUUAAUCCUUUUACACACCUUAUUUUGCUUAGGACGACGAUAGCAUUAUAAGGUGACCCCUCGCUUAAAUUUCAAAAUAAAAUUGUGUUCUCCCCAAGUGUGCACUGUUGCGACAGUUUGUCGUUUCGACACACCACGUGAUGAUCGGGUGUGAUAGACUCUACGUUCACAUACAACAGGUGCAAAACAGUUGCACACGCGGAACACUCGGUUUAAACUUGACGAGCAUAGCAUGUACAGACAUGGCCUCAGAACACAAGAUACCUAAAGGUCAAGCACUAAUCAUAUAGUGGAUAUGAUGAACAUGGAGAUGUUCACCAUUGAAGCUAAACUCAACUCACAUGAUGAUCGGACUUCAGUUAGUGAAUUUGGAUCACGCGACACUCGAAUAACUAGAGGGAUGUCAAUUUGAGUGGGAUUUUAUUAGUAAUAUGAUUAGCUAAACUCAAUCUUAAACAUAGUCUAAGUAAUCUUUGCAAAAUUUUAUGUUGUAGAUCAAUGG
rnacentral:lncRNA from 1 species